rnacentral:tRNA from 1 species
UAUAGCUCAGUUGGUAGAGCAACGGUCUUGUAAACCGUAGGUCGUUCGUUCGAGUCGG